UACGUAGGUGGCAAGCGUUGUCCGGAUUUACUGGGCGUAAAGCGAACGCAGGCGGACUAUUAAGUAAGAAGUGAAAGGUUGGAGCUCAACUCCGACACUGCUCCUUAUACUGGUAGUCUUUGAGUCUUGGAGAGGAAAGCGGAACGACACGUGUAGCGGUGAAAUGCGUUGAUAUGUGUCGGAACACCGAUGGCGAAAGCAGCUUUCUGGACAAGUACUGACGCUGAGGUUUCGAAAAGCCAAGGGAGCGAACAGG
rnacentral:rRNA from 1 species